AUAGGGGAGCCGGAGGGAAACCGAGUCUUAAUUGGGCGUUAAGUUGCAGGGUAUAGACCCGAAACCCGGUGAUCUAGCCAUGGGCAGGUUGAAGGUUGGGUAACACUAACUGGAGGACCGAACCGACUAAUGUUGAAAAAUUAGCGGAUGACCUGUGGCUGGGGGUGAAAGGCCAAUCAAACCGGGAGAUAGCUGGUUCUCCCCGAAAGCUAUUUAGGUAGCGCCUCGUGAAUUCAUCUCCGGGGGUAGAGCACUGUUUCGGCUAGGGGGCCAUCCCGGCUUACCAACCCGAUGCAAACUGCGAAUACCGGAGAAUGUUAUCACGGGAGACACACGGCGGGUGCUAACGUCCGUCGUGAAGAGGGAAACAACCCAGACCGCCAGCUAAGGUCCCAAAGUCAUGGUUAAGUGGGAAACGAUGUGGGAAGGCCCAGACAGCCAGGAUGUUGGCUUAGAAGCAGCCAUCAUUUAAAGAAAGCGUAAUAGCUCACUGGUCGAGUCGGCCUGCGCGGAAGAUGUAACGGGGCUAAACCAUGCACCGAAGCUGCGGCAGCGACACUGUGUGUUGUUGGGUAGG
rnacentral:rRNA from 1 species